AUAAACUUUUAAUCUUCAAGGAUUGUGCCUUAAGCACCCAUUGCCAGGCAAAGAUGCUCACUAAAAGUUAUUUAUAAAAUAACUUUUUGGUUUAAAAUCCCAUACUCUAAGAGGGAAGGACAACAUACAUAAAACUUCCAUAGUGGUGCAGGGAGUAGGAGAGUAAAACUUAAAUGGAACUCAGAAAGAAGUAAAGGGAUAGAAUAAGCAGUAGAUCUCAAACCAGGACCUCCACAGGAUCUUACAUUUUCAUUUUGAAACUGAUGGUCUAUGUCUAGUGACUGGAAAGUCACAGAGAUGUAGGCAUACCAUCAUAGUGAGCUAGGGGAGGAAACUGAAGGGAAAAUCAAUUUCUAAACUGAAAACAAAUCGGACUUCAACUAGGACUUUCAGGCUUCUGCUAAACUUUGCUCUCGGAGUGUUUCAAUGCUUUCUCUUUCUGUUGGCAGAGGAGGGCUGCAGGACAGGAGGACUGGGCUGGGCUACAGCCUGUUCUUCAUCCUGAGUGAAUGAAGUCUUAUUAUAUUCUCCAGCAAAGGCUGCACUACUUGUUGUGAGGCUUAUGGGUAAAGUUGCCAGAGAGCAAUCCAGUUAUCAGCCUCAGCCCUAGUCCUCUCAUGUACAGUUCUCGAAGCAAACCCUCGAACCUAGUUGGCUCUAGAAGGAGAAGACGCGGAGAGAAGCAGCCCACAAGCGAAGCCUGCAGCACGCCUUGCACUGAAUCCCCUACGGGUUCGGUGAGGACACAGGCCCUGACGCCAGGCACUUGCCUUGACGGCGAGGGGGUAACAUCUGGAGUCUCGGAGCACCGAUCCAGCCUGAGGUGGCUGCCUUUUGGAGUCUCGGGGAUCCAUGGCCACUUAUCCAUGCCUACUUGAAGGCCAGAGGCGGACGGCCGGAGCCGGACCUCAAGUUUCAGCCAGCCGCUCGGGAGCGCUCCGGGUGGCGCCUCCAGGCCUCGCUGCUGGGGGCGGGGCUCGCGCUGUGACACCGCCCCCCGCCUCGCCCCGCCCCGCGCGCGUUGCCAGGGUGAUCAGGUGACUCCGCACUCGCGGCUCUCGGGGAGGUCGUGACGUCAGGCGAGCCCAGUCUCCUCACUCGCUCCUUGGCAGGUGCGGCGCCACUUGUGCGGUCUCGUCAGGUUCCAGCGGGUCCCGGCCGAACCAGUGCUCAGCGGGUUCGUAAAGAGGAGAGUGUACGUGGUGGAAGACCAAAGAAGGGAUGACCUGGGCACAUCCACCUGCCUCACAGCCUGCUGGACGGCCCUCUGUUGCUGCUGUCUCUGGGACAUGCUCACCUGACCAGCCCGGCUCUCCUGUCCUGCCAGCUC